GCAGUGGUGGUUCAACGGAAGAAUUCUCACCUUCCAGGUGGGAGACCAGGGUUUGAUUCCCAGUCAAUGCC
rnacentral:tRNA from 1 species